rnacentral:rRNA from 1 species
UCUCUCACUCCUCCCUUUCCCCGGUUGCGGCUUAGCGCUCUUCGCGCUAAACGCAAGCGAGUUGGACAAGGUCGGAGUGAGAGGCUGGGGGAAGUGGCGAAAGGGGCAGUAAUGCGUGGGUAACCUACCCUGGGGACCGGGAUAGCCAUUCCAACGAGUGGGUAAUACCGGGCAAUGUAGUUGAGGGGCAUCUCUUGGCUACCAGAUGAAUUUCGCCUCGGGAGGGGCUCACGUCGUAUUAGCUAGUUGGUGAGGUAACGGCUCACCAAGGCAAAGAUGCGUAGCGGGUGUGAGAGCACGACCCGCGCCACUGGCACUGAGACACUGGCCAGACACCUACGGGUGGCUGCAGUCGAGGAUCUUUGGCAAUGAGCGCAAGCUUGACCAAGCGACGCCGCGUGUGCGAUGAAGGCCUUCGGGUUGUAAAGCACUGUCGAGGGGGACGAAGCCGCAAGGUUGACCGAUCCCUGGAGGAAGCACGGGCUAAGUUCGUGCCAGCAGCCGCGGUAAGACGAACCGUGCGAACGUUGUUCGGAAUCACUGGGCUUAAAGGGCGCGUAGGCGGCUUGUCAAGUCAGGGGUGAAAUCUUUCGGCUCAACCGGAAAAGUGCCCUUGAUACUGACAGGCUCGAGGGAGGUAGGGGCAUGUGGAACUUCUGGUGGAGCGGUGAAAUGCGUUGAUAUCAGAAGGAACGCCGGUGGCGAAAGCGACGUGCUGGACCUCUUCUGACGCUGAGGCGCGAAAGCUAGGGGAGCAAACGGGAUUAGAUACCCCGGUAGUCCUAGCCCUAAACGAUGGGUACUAGGUUGUAGACUUGACAU